AUUGCUUCUUGGCCUUUUGGCUAAGAUCAAGUGUAGUAUCUUUUCUUACCAGUUUAAUAGAUCUUGCUAAAUAUAGUUCAUAAAAAGGUGCUGAGUUAAUAUUUUUAAGUAAUAAGAAACAAUACUUUAACGAAUAGACUUUUUUUUUUUUUGUGGAACCGGGGAUUGAACUGAGGCCCUUGCACUUGCCAGGGAAG